rnacentral:lncRNA from 1 species
AAGUGAGGCAAUGCCUCGCCCUGCUUCAGCUUAGGCACGGUGCGCGCGCCCACUGACCUGAGCCCACUGUCUGACACUCCCUAGUGAGAUGAACCCGGUACCUCAGAUGGAAAUGCGGAAAUCACCCUUCUGCAUCGCUCACGCUGGGAGCUGUAGACCGGAGCUGUUCCUGUUCGGCCAUCUUGGCUCCUCCCCUGCACUUUUCAAAUAAGAGACCUGGGGGAUUUUAGAACAGGGCUUUCAAGGUAAUGAAGGAAGAGAAUCUUCUUUGGACUUCUUUUUGCUCCAGAUGCGGAGAAGGCAACUUCCCGGAGUCUCUACCAGUGAGAAGGCUACAGAAUCACGGGCAGAUAAGGUCUGGCUCUGUGGCCAUAGCUCACUGCAGCCUCAAAUUCCUGCGCUCAAGUAAUCCUCCCACCUCAGCUUCCCAAGUAGAUGGGAAUACAGAUAACAUUCUUCUACCAGGAAGAGGGAGAUUGACUAUUUUAUCAGUCAUUAAUUUUGCUCCAAAUAACCCCGUGAUUUUGGAUGAUUGAUUAUGGGAAUGCUG